rnacentral:tRNA from 1 species
GGGAGGGUGGUCUAGCUUGGUAUGAUUCUUGGUUCGGAACCAAGAGGUCGAGGGUUCAAAUCCCCCCUCUCCCA